rfam:Beta vulgaris subsp. vulgaris Bvchr5.sca013.con0018.1, whole genome shotgun sequence.
AAUAACCAAAUAUAAUACUUGGACUAAGGGUAACGUUUGUAAUUUUUAUUACAUCUCCGCUUCCUGGAGCCCAGAUAUCAUAUAUGCCCCCAAAAUAAAGAGCUUUAAAUACUAGAAGAAAAGCGCCUAUACCUAACAAGAUUAAGUGAAUGCCCAAAAUUGGUCAUUUUAUUUCUAUCUUUCAA